CUUCUCUCUAUUUUCUCUCUCUAGAUUUUCUAUGAUUUCUUGGUCUAAUAUGAAUGUUUACAUGGUAUCAGAGCCUCGACGACAAUCCGACUAUGUUUCUAUAUGCUUCGUGGUCUUGGAUGAAGUCUGUUUCGAGGUUUUUGGGGGUGAUUUCUGAGACCUCACGGUCGAUGAAGAUUUCAACCUAUCGGAGACUUUUCUGNN
rnacentral:lncRNA from 1 species